UACGGAGGGAGCUAGCGUUGUUCGGAAUUACUGGGCGUAAAGCGCACGUAGGCGGCUACUCAAGUCGGGGUGAAAGCCCGGGGCUCAACCCCGGAACUGCCCUCGAAACUAGGUAGCUAGAAUCUUGGAGAGGUCAGUGGAAUUCCGAGUGUAGAGGUGAAAUUCGUAGAUAUUCGGAAGAACACCAGUGGCGAAGGCGACUGACUGGACAAGUAUUGACGCUGAGGUGCGAAAGCGUGGUAGCGAACAGG
rnacentral:rRNA from 1 species